rnacentral:rRNA from 1 species
CCUACGGGUGGCAGCAGUGGGGAAUAUUGGGCAAUGGGCGCAAGCCUGACCCAGCAACGCCGCGUGAAGGAAGAAGGCCCUCGGGUUGUAAACUUCUUUUAUUCGGGACGAAACAAAUGACGGUACCGCAUGACUACGCCACUGCUAACUACGUGCCAGCAGCCGCUGUACUACGUAGGUGGCAAGCGUUAUCCGGAUUUACUGGGUGUAAAGGGCGUGUAGGCGGGAGCGCAAGUCAGACGUGAAAUUCCAGGGCUCAACCCUGGAACUGCGGUUGAAACUGUUCUUCUUGAGUGAUGGAGAGGCAGGCGGAAUUCCGUGUGUAGCGGUGAAAUGCGUAGAUAUACGGAGGAACACCAGUGGCGAAGGCGGCCUGCUGGACAGUAACUGACGCUGAGGCGCGAAAGCGUGGGGAGCAAACAGGAUUAGAUACCCGUGUAGUC